rnacentral:rRNA from 1 species
UACGUAGGGUGCAAGCGUUGUCCGGAAUUAUUGGGCGUAAAGAGCUCGUAGGCGGUCUGUCGCGUCGGCUGUGAAAACUCGGGGCUCAACCCCGAGCCUGCAGUCGAUACGGGCAGACUAGAGUGCUGUAGGGGAGACUGGAAUUCCUGGUGUAGCGGUGAAAUGCGCAGAUAUCAGGAGGAACACCGGUGGCGAAGGCGGGUCUCUGGGCAGUAACUGACGCUGAGGAGCGAAAGCGUGGGGAGCGAA